UACGGAGGGUGCAAGCGUUAUCCGGAUUCACUGGGUUUAAAGGGUGCGUAGGUGGGCUAGUAAGUCAGUGGUGAAAUCUCCGGGCUUAACCCGGAAACUGCCAUUGAUACUAUUAGUCUUGAAUGUUGUGGAGGUAAGCGGAAUAUGUCAUGUAGCGGUGAAAUGCUUAGAUAUGGCAUAGAACACCGAUAGCGUAGGCAGCUUACUACACAAAUAUUGACACUGAGGCACGAAAGCGUGGGGAUCAAACAGG
rnacentral:rRNA from 1 species